rnacentral:tRNA from 1 species
GGGGAUAUAGCUCAGUGGUAGAGCUCUUGCUUGUCACAUAGGAGGCUCUGGGCUCAAUCCCCAGUCCA